AAACAAUUUCCCCAUUUUACGCCCCUACGGUUGAACACUGGAACUGGAGCUGAAACUGAGCCUCUUUCAUAGACAAGUACUAUUCUGGCAUUAUCAGAUCUCUCGUCUUGCUUUUACAUUUUAACUUCGCGUCGACAAGCUCAUAACUUUAUUAUUAAGAUUGGACUUGAAAGAUGGGAGCUGCAGAGAAGAGUUUUGACGUGGAGGAGGGAACUCUUGAGAUUGGAAUGGAGUAUAGAACCGUCUCUGGUGUUGCUGGACCGCUGGUUAUUCUCGACAAAGUCAAGGGUCC
rnacentral:misc_RNA from 1 species